UCCCUGAUAUCUCAGUUGGUAAAUAAUCUGCCUGCAAAGCAGGAGACCCUGGUUCAAUUCCUGGAUCGGGAA
rfam:TPA: Bos taurus chromosome 10, whole genome shotgun sequence.